GAAGAGUGAAUAUGGUUAUUCACCUGAGCUCCUGCCACAAACUCCUGUAUUUUCCUAUUUGUCUUUUUACUGAAAAGAAAGAACGGAAGACAGACCACUUUCCUAAUUCCUUUAAUGACAAAAAGACAAAGCCCACAUAAACACAAAAUACAAAGACAAAUUAUUGAAUAUUGACAAAGAUUUUAUUUGAUCAAGACUGUCAAGCACAAUCAAAAGUAAGUAUUUGGGCAGACUGGGUGUGAAAUCCCUUGUCGUGCCCCUCCCACUGUGCUCUAUCAAGCGCCACAACGUGGUGAAAUGUUAAGGAGGAGAGACCAUGAUGGACGCCCAGUGGUUCUGCACCAAAUAGAUGGCCUCGUUUAGUGUUGCUGGUUGGUUGUGCAGAAGCCAGUGGGCUGUCUCUUCUGGGAGCUGUUCCAUAAACUGCUCCAUUACCACCCGCUCCACAAUCCUUCCAGCAUCAAGACCGUCAACAAGCAACCAGUCCUGACACUCUUUCUGGAGCUGUUGUACAUAUAAAAAUAGAUCGCCGACGUCACCGAGCGUCAAGGAGCGAAACCUCAUGCGGUGUUGCUCUGACCGCUGAGAAACGACUUUACAGCGACAUUCAGAUUCUUCACUCAGCUUCAUUCUCUGAAAAUUCUGUUGCAUUUGUUCCAUGGCCUCCAGAUGCUCAUUUUGCAUUUGUUUAUCUUCUUGGAGAUACAGUACGGUGUCAGGGAGGUGUGAGGGCUCCAUCGAGAUUUUUGUGGAAAAGUAGAAAGAAAUGUUAAAUAAAAAAGAAAGCAAAAUGUCGUUUUCAAAGUCCGCUUUUCUCUGUAGAUUUCUGGAGAAAAUACAGGCACUUUAUACCCUAACAUAAGGCGGGUUUAUUUAAUGCAUAAACCGCCUUAAUACCAAACCUGCCUUCACAAGCGACAUGAUCAUGGAUCCGGAGAGCCUUUUGGUUCUCGGUGGAUAGAGCGGUGUUCUCUUGACGAAUAGAAGUCCUGGUUUACACUUUUGAGAAUUAGAAACAUGUUUUGAUUACUUUAACAACACGCUAAAGGCUGAUUAGACCUUUUCUAAGAAGCCAGUCGGGACUCAAAAAUGGAUUCAUUUACUUAAUUCUGUUUAUUUUUCCUGAUGAUAAUAAACAUCCCUGUUUCUUCGUGUAAGAACACCAUAAACCACUGAAUGAUGUUAUUGAAUUAUUAACACACAGACUAAGCUCCUCCUGAAAUCUCUAACACCGGAAGAAUGUAAGUUCCUGCUAAGGCUGCGGAAAAACACUCACUCCCUUAGUUAGACUACACAUACUUGUCCAACUUACUUAAGUCGCUUCAUUUGACAUAAUAUACUGAAGCCUUUAAAAACUACCAAUGUUUUUUUUCUUCAUUUGUAUCAAAAUAAAUAUAUUUUAAAAUAUACAUAAUACACUGUGUUGUUAAAAUAAACUGCGAGAGAAUAACUACAAUACGUUCUCCUCACCUUCUAGUGAUCCAUUUACAUGGUUUAAACAAUUUAAAUACAUUUGGCUUAAACUGAUUUGACAGCAGGAUAUGUCCAUGCUUGUUUAUUCUGUGUCCUGUUUUCCAACUUACUCCCACCUCUUAAUGCUCUCCACUCUCGUCUUGUGACGCAUGGUUGUUUCGGGUGAACAGACUGUAGGCUAAACGUUUGAUAAUUUGACGGAACCAACGACAGAUCAGUACUCAUUCGGCCACGAAUGAGUUAACAAGGAACUUGGUCGAAAAAAAACACGGCCCUUCUGCUGUUCAGUUUCUCUCAGCCUCAUUCUCUCACCAUGACACUUCUGAACAUUCACCGCAGGUUUGGAGUACAGGAUCGGAGUUCAGGCUACAAGUAACAUAUCGACCUUUGCUGAAAUAUCUUGAUAUUGUAACAGGAGAACAGUCGAACUUGGCUUGUGGUCGAUAUUUUUUUGUACUAAGACUAGUUACGCCCUUUCUAAUGGCUGCUUCCCGGAUCUGCUACAUGAAGUGAGAAGCACAGUGCUGUUUAUGGAAAACGUCGACGUUGGAGGGUGAAUAUUUCGACAACACACGGGAAAGGCGAAUAAGAAAAAACCCGACGGUGUUCACUUAAAUCAUUUAUAUGAUACCAUAUUAUCUAAAGCAUUGCCAACUCACUCUGUUUUUUUUUCGUUUUUAAUGUAUGUUCCAUCGGGCCUGCAAUGGACAUCUUUUUAUUUAUUUUAUUCUUUGUCAAUAGCGCUGGAUAAACAUUUUGACUUUUGACUUGUAUAGAAGAAGCGCGACGGGAUUUUAAAUCAGGCUACAUUUGUGUGAAACAUGUUUUUUUUGUUUCUUGUCUGUCAUUUUGGCAUAUUUUUGUAUUUAUUUGGUCCAAGUUCCGGCAACAAACAACAAUCUUGUAACAGAAAAAAGCACGUUGCUUCAUCGUCGCUAGUGUGAGUAAAUAAAAUAAAAAAUACAGUGGAACAGUGAGUUCUGAACCUAAAGGUGUGGUGCUGCCGUGGAAAAGCGACUUGACCAACACUGUUUAUUUUGUGGACUUUUUUGAAAUUAUUCGUUGCACAAUAUUAUGAACAGAGGAGAAUAUUAAGGUUAAAUACAGAUAGAUUAAAAUAUAAUUUAAUAUUUAAUUUUCAAUAUAUUAUUUACAUGAGCGGUGGCUUGCACAAUGUGACAGCAAAGUGUUUGGUCCAUAAGGAAGAGUGAAUAUGGUUAUUCAUCUGAGCUCCUGCCACAAACUCCUGUAUUUUCCUAUUUGUCUUUUUACUGAAAAGAAAGAAUGGAAGACAGACCACUUUCCUAAUUCCUUUAAUGACAAAAAGACAAAGCCCACAUAAACACAAAAUACAAAGACAAAUUAUUGAAUAUUGACAAAGAUUUUAUUUGAUCAAGACUGUCAAGCACAAUCAAAAGUAAGUAUUUGGGCAGACUGGGUGUGAAAUCCCUUGUCGUGCCCCUCCCACUGUGCUCUAUCAAGCGCCACAACGUGGUGAAAUGUUAAGGAGGAGAGACCAUGAUGGACGCCCAGUGGUUCUGCACCAAAUAGAUGGCCUCGUUUAGUGUUGCUGGUUGGUUGUGCAGAAGCCAGUGGGCUGUCUCUUCUGGGAGCUGUUCCAUAAACUGCUCCAUUACCACCCGCUCCACAAUCCUUCCAGCAUCAAGACCGUCAACAAGCAACCAGUCCUGACACUCUUUCUGGAGCUGUUGUACAUAUAAAAAUAGAUCGCCGACGUCACCGAGCGUCAAGGAGCGAAACCUCAUGCGGUGUUGCUCUGACCGCUGAGAAACGACUUUACAGCGACAUUCAGAUUCUUCACUCAGCUUCAUUCUCUGAAAAUUCUGUUGCAUUUGUUCCAUGGCCUCCAGAUGCUCAUUUUGCAUUUGUUUAUCUUCUUGGAGAUACAGUACGGUGUCAGGGAGGUGUGAGGGCUCCAUCGAGAUUUUUGUGGAAAAGUAGAAAGAAAUGUUAAAUAAAAAAGAAAGCAAAAUGUCGUUUUCAAAGUCCGCUUUUCUCUGUAGAUUUCUGGAGAAAAUACAGGCACUUUAUACCCUAACAUAAGGCGGGUUUAUUUAAUGCAUAAACCGCCUUAAUACCAAACCUGCCUUCACAAGCGACAUGAUCAUGGAUCCGGAGAGCCUUUUGGUUCUCGGUGGAUAGAGCGGUGUUCUCUUGACGAAUAGAAGUCCUGGUUUACACUUUUGAGAAUUAGAAACAUGUUUUGAUUACUUUAACAACACGCUAAAGGCUGAUUAGACCUUUUCUAAGAAGCCAGUCGGGACUCAAAAAUGGAUUCAUUUACUUAAUUCUGUUUAUUUUUCCUGAUGAUAAUAAACAUCCCUGUUUCUUCGUGUAAGAACACCAUAAACCACUGAAUGAUGUUAUUGAAUUAUUAACACACAGACUAAGCUCCUCCUGAAAUCUCUAACACCGGAAGAAUGUAAGUUCCUGCUAAGGCUGCGGAAAAACACUCACUCCCUUAGUUAGACUACACAUACUUGUCCAACUUACUUAAGUCGCUUCAUUUGACAUAAUAUACUGAAGCCUUUAAAAACUACCAAUGUUUUUUUUCUUCAUUUGUAUCAAAAUAAAUAUAUUUUAAAAUAUACAUAAUACACUGUGUUGUUAAAAUAAACUGCGAGAGAAUAACUACAAUACGUUCUCCUCACCUUCUAGUGAUCCAUUUACAUGGUUUAAACAAUUUAAAUACAUUUGGCUUAAACUGAUUUGACAGCAGGAUAUGUCCAUGCUUGUUUAUUCUGUGUCCUGUUUUCCAACUUACUCCCACCUCUUAAUGCUCUCCACUCUCGUCUUGUGACGCAUGGUUGUUUCGGGUGAACAGACUGUAGGCUAAACGUUUGAUAAUUUGACGGAACCAACGACAGAUCAGUACUCAUUCGGCCACGAAUGAGUUAACAAGGAACUUGGUCGAAAAAAAAACACGGCCCUUCUGCUGUUCAGUUUCUCUCAGCCUCAUUCUCUCACCAUGACACUUCUGAACAUUCACCGCAGGUUUGGAGUACAGGAUCGGAGUUCAGGCUACAAGUAACAUAUCGACCUUUGCUGAAAUAUCUUGAUAUUGUAACAGGAGAACAGUCGAACUUGGCUUGUGGUCGAUAUUUUUUUGUACUAAGACUAGUUACGCCCUUUCUAAUGGCUGCUUCCCGGAUCUGCUACAUGAAGUGAGAAGCACAGUGCUGUUUAUGGAAAACGUCGACGUUGGAGGGUGAAUAUUUCGACAACACACGGGAAAGGCGAAUAAGAAAAAACCCGACGGUGUUCACUUAAAUCAUUUAUAUGAUACCAUAUUAUCUAAAGCAUUGCCAACUCACUCUGUUUUUUUUUCGUUUUUAAUGUAUGUUCCAUCGGGCCUGCAAUGGACAUCUUUUUAUUUAUUUUAUUCUUUGUCAAUAGCGCUGGAUAAACAUUUUGACUUUUGACUUGUAUAGAAGAAGCGCGACGGGAUUUUAAAUCAGGCUACAUUUGUGUGAAACAUGUUUUUUUUGUUUCUUGUCUGUCAUUUUGGCAUAUUUUUGUAUUUAUUUGGUCCAAGUUCCGGCAACAAACAACAAUCUUGUAACAGAAAAAAGCACGUUGCUUCAUCGUCGCUAGUGUGAGUAAAUAAAAUAAAAAAUACAGUGGAACAGUGAGUUCUGAACCUAAAGGUGUGGUGCUGCCGUGGAAAAGCGACUUGACCAACACUGUUUAUUUUGUGGACUUUUUUGAAAUUAUUCGUUGCACAAUAUUAUGAACAGAGGAGAAUAUUAAGGUUAAAUACAGAUAGAUUAAAAUAUAAUUUAAUAUUUAAUUUUCAAUAUAUUAUUUACAUGAGCGGUGGCUUGCACAAUGUGACAGCAAAGUGUUUGGUCCAUAAGGAAGAGUGAAUAUGGUUAUUCAUCUGAGCUCCUGCCACAAACUCCUGUAUUUUCCUAUUUGUCUUUUUACUGAAAAGAAAGAAUGGAAGACAGACCACUUUCCUAAUUCCUUUAAUGACAAAAAGACAAAGCCCACAUAAACACAAAAUACAAAGACAAAUUAUUGAAUAUUGACAAAGAUUUUAUUUGAUCAAGACUGUCAAGCACAAUCAAAAGUAAGUAUUUGGGCAGACUGGGUGUGAAAUCCCUUGUCGUGCCCCUCCCACUGUGCUCUAUCAAGCGCCACAACGUGGUGAAAUGUUAAGGAGGAGAGACCAUGAUGGACGCCCAGUGGUUCUGCACCAAAUAGAUGGCCUCGUUUAGUGUUGCUGGUUGGUUGUGCAGAAGCCAGUGGGCUGUCUCUUCUGGGAGCUGUUCCAUAAACUGCUCCAUUACCACCCGCCCCACAAUCCUUCCAGCAUCAAGACCGUCAACAAGCAACCAGUCCUGACACUCUUUCUGGAGCUGUUGUACAUAUAAAAAUAGAUCGCCGACGUCACCGAGCGUCAAGGAGCGAAACCUCAUGCGGUGUUGCUCUGACCGCUGAGAAACGACUUUACAGCGACAUUCAGAUUCUUCACUCAGCUUCAUUCUCUGAAAAUUCUGUUGCAUUUGUUCCAUGGCCUCCAGAUGCUCAUUUUGCUUUUGUUUAUCUUCUUGGAGAUACAGUACGGUGUCAGGGAGGUGUGAGGGCUCCAUCGAGAUUUUGUGGAAAAGUAGAAAGAAAUGUUAAAUAAAAAAGAAAGCAAAAUGUCGUUUUUAAAGUCCGCUUUUCUCUGUAGAUUUCUGGAGAAAAUACAGGCACUUUAUACCCUAACAUAAGGCGGGUUUAUUUAAUGCAUAAACCGCCUUAAUACCAAACCUGCCUUCACAAGCGACAUGAUCAUGGAUCCGGAGAGCCUUUUGGUUCUCGGUGGAUAGAGCGGUGUUCUCUUGACGAAUAGAAGUCCUGGUUUACACUUUUGAGAAUUAGAAACAUGUUUUGAUUACUUUAACAACACGCUAAAGGUUGAUUAGACCUUUUCUAAGAAACCAGUCGGGACUCAAAAAUGGAUUCAUUUACUUAAUUCUGUUUAUUUUUCUUGAUGAUAAUAAACAUCCCUGUUUCUUCGUGUAAGAACACCAUAAACCACUGAAUGAUGUUAUUGAAUUAUUAACACACAGACUAAGCUCCUCCUGAAAUCUCUAACACCGGAAGAAUGUAAGUUCCUGCUAAGGCUGCGGAAAAACACUCACUCCCUUAGUUAGACUAUACAUACUUGUCCAACUUACUUAAGUCGCUUCAUUUGACAUAAUAUACUGAAGCCUUUAAAAACUACCAAUGUUUUUUUUUCUUCAUUUGUAUAAAAAUAAAUAUAUUUUAAAAUAUACAUAAUACACUGUGUUGUUAAAAUAAACUGCGAGAGAAUAACUACAAUACGUUCUCCUCACCUUCUAGUGAUCCAUUUACAUGGUUUAAACAAUUUAAAUACAUUUGGCUUAAACUGAUUUGACAGCAGGAUAUGUCCAUGCUUGUUUAUUCUGUGUCCUGUUUUCCAACUUACUCCCACCUCUUAAUGCUCUCCACUCUCGUCUUGUGACGCAUGGUUGUUUCGGGUGAACAGACUGUAGGCUAAACGUUUGAUAAUUUGACGGAACCAACGACAGAUCAGUACUCAUUCGGCCACGAAUGAGUUAACAAGGAACUUGGUCGAAAAAAAAACACGGCCCUUCUGCUGUUCAGUUUCUCUCAGCCUCAUUCUCUCACCAUGACACUUCUGAACAUUCACCGCAGGUUUGGAGUACAGGAUCGGAGUUCAGGCUACAAGUAACAUAUCGACCUUUGCUGAAAUAUCUUGAUAUUGUAACAGGAGAACAGUCGAACUUGGCUUGUGGUCGAUAUUUUUUUGUACUAAGACUAGUUACGCCCUUUCUAAUGGCUGCUUCCCGGAUCUGCUACAUGAAGUGAGAAGCACAGUGCUGUUUAUGGAAAACGUCGACGUUGGAGGGUGAAUAUUUCGACAACACACGGGAAAGGCGAAUAAGAAAAAACCUGACGGUGUUCACUUAAAUCAUUUAUAUGAUACCAUAUUAUCUAAAGUAUUGCCAACUCGCAAUUGCCAACUUUUUGUUUUGUUUUUAAUAAAUGCUCGAAUUUUCCACAUCGCCAUUUGGAAAUAUGACACCGAGGUUAAAAAGCGGAUGUGAAGCCUGUCGGAAUCAACAGAUAAUUAUUCCAGUUAUUCAAGAAAUUUAGCCCUAUAUUUACAAAAGGUUUUAGAAUGUGCUUUUUAUUGUUCUUUAUUCUUUACUGUUAUACUCAUCAUUAUUAUUAUUAUUAUUAUUAUUAUUAUUAUUAUUAUUAUUAUUAUUAUUAUUAUUUUCACAUUUUUGUACAUAUUUCUGCUAAUGUCAAGUAGGCCUCUGUAUGUUGUCUAUUGUCUUAUUAUUUGACACCAGCAAUUAAAUGAAAUAAAAUACAAAACCCAGUGGAACACUGAGUCCAGAACAUAAAGCUCUGAUACUUCCGUGGAAAUGGCACUGCUGCACUUCGCUACACAUGUUUGUGUUUCGGCGCACAGACUGUAGAAAUGUAGGCUGCAUGUUACGGAGUCUAUAAACUUUCGUGUUUUAGGUUUUUAGGGUUUAAAAAAGUUAAUUUUCACAUAAAUUGUCAACACAAUGGGGAGUUCAGAAAUCUAGCACGUAUUUGGUUAUUUGUCAAUUAAUUAAAAAAAAUAAGAGAAAAAGAAUCUUUUGUCGCUUUUGAGAUUUAAAAACUUGACUUUAAGAGCGCAGUAAAACGCUGAUUAGACCUUUUCUAAGAAGGCUGUCGGAAUUCACAAAUUCACUUAAAUCUCUUUAAUCUCUUAACCAAAUUCACUUAAAUCUCUUAAAACCUUAAACAAGGAUAUUAACCUUAAAUAUCCCUGUUUUUGCCUGCAAGAACUCCAUAAACCGCUGAAUUGUUAGCACGCAGACUUAACAGAUCAGUCUUUCGGAGACGAAUGAGAACAUAAGUAACACGUAAAACUUGCAGAAUAUUCGCCCCUCCUGCUGUUCAGUUUCUCUUUUCGUCAGCCUCAUUCUCUCUCAUUCUCUCAACAUGACUCACUCCUGAACAUUCAGCGCACGUUACCAUUUCGGAAAUGUGGCCAGAAAUGUCGACCUCUGCUGAAAUAUCCUCAUCUUGUAACAGAAGAAUAGUCGAGCUUGGCUCGUGGUCGAUAUUCUCUGUACUAAGAGUUAAGCGUUUUGUUUAUGGUGACUACCUAGAGAAACUCUUACAGGAAGUGGGAAAGACUUCGACAUUUUCCGCUGGACGGUGAAUAGUUCGACAACGCCCGGUAAAGGACGACGGUGUUCGCUUAAAUCAUUUAUUUGUUACUCUUUUCUGGAGUAUCUCUAAUUCUUUCUGUUUUUUACGGGUUCCGAAUUUUUCAACAUAGGCAACUGGAAAUAUGACACCGUCGUUGGAAAUCGGAUGUGAAGCCUGUCUGAAUUAACAGAUUAUUAUUUCAGUUAUUGGGGGUUAUAUUCAGUCACCUUUAAACAACGUUUUUUAGCUUUUUUUGAGCAUCCUGUUGUAUGUGUGAAAACCAUAAACCAUUGUAUUUACUCUUAUUCUACUUUUUAUUUUUUUUUAUGUGUGAAAAAAAAUAAACCGCUGUAUUUACUACUACAACUGAUGGUGUUUUUUUGUUUUGUUUUUUUACAUGAUUUUGUUCAUGUCAGGAAUGUUGUCUAAUAUCUGAUUUCAUUAUGUAACACUAACAAUAAAAUAAAAUACAAAACAGUGGAAUAUUGUGCUAUGUCGCUACACGUGCAGACUAUGGGAAUGUAAGCUUCUUGUUUCGGAGUCCAAAAGCUUCUGUAUUUUAAAAUUAUGCGAUCUUGGCGAAGUGUGAGGGCUCAGUUAUGGUGUAUGGGGAAGUGUUAAGGUGUAGAUAGAAUUCCUUAAAUUAAACAUUGAUCUCUGUGAUUUUCACGGCAGUUUGAACCGCGUAGGGGCAGGCGUUUAUAUAACCUGAUGCCAGCGUUUUAAAUCAGUUAAAAUGAAUCAAAUCUAAUUCAGAAUAAGGACGAAAGUGAAAAUAGCAAAAGAUCUUCAGUGGAAAUUCGACCGAAAUCUCUUCCACAACCCAAGGGCCGUGUCGGUCUAGUAUCAUUCGAACAUAGCUGGAUGAAAAACAGGAAACAUAAAAAAUCGAAAGCGAAUCAGUAGCGCUGCAAUAUUAUCAUAUAAAUGAUUUAAAUGCAGGGUUGGUGCUUUGUUCAUCGGUGUCGAGCUAUUUAUCUUCCAACGUCAGUGACGUUUUUCAAGUCGGAUGACUCACUCGGUGGCUUUUUCUAAGAACCUAGAGCAAAGGGCAGGCCUAAGAGUGGCACUUAGGGCGGAUCUCUCCUAGCAUGGCGAGGCAGUAAUAUAUGAAGCAACUGCUGAGUGCUGCAAUCAGAAAAAUCUCCAGCCGUAAGAUAAUAAAUGCGUCUACCAUUGCACGGCAUCGUGUGUUUUAUGACUGAGUAUGACUAGACUCAUUCAGUGCAUCUGUUACGGUAAGAUAGUUCUUCGGAGUUAUUAGGAUGUGUAGGUUAGAAACCUGAGUAAAUGAUGCAGCACGUCGCAUGACUAGGCAAUGAAAAUAUUUAUAUUUAUGACGUUUGACGCCUGGCUGAUUUUCCAAGCGAUUACUAAUAAGGGGCUCGCGCUCCUGUAGGGAUUCGUAUGCAUAUUUAAUUAUGCAGAAAUGUGUUAUGCCAAUUGUUUCUCCUUUACUCAGGCGUGUGCACUGCAGCACUCACUUGUGUGUCUGAAAUCCUCGAGAUGCUCCUGAACGCCUUUGCACGUGGAGGGGAAAUGCAUGAUCAGGCUGCAGUGGCAGAGGACUCAGCAGAGUCUGGAGAUGAAGGUUUUGGACUAUCAGUGGAGGAGACUGAACCAGCAGGGUGCCGAAGCUCAGUGCGUCCUUUCAUCCUUAUGGGGUCAUGAGACACCUGUUCUGGCAUGACAUUUGAUGAUCAGAAUUUCCUCAGUUUUCUAGACUAUCUAUAUCUAAACAGUUAUUUGUGUAAUCACAACACGCGUCAUUUUUUGACGUCAGGCCCAGCUUUAUACCCACUUCUGUAUUUUUUUUUUUUUUUACUUUUAGCUGUUUCAUUGUAAUUCUCUUUCACUUUUAACUGGCCAAGCAGGACUUUGUCGAUAUAUAUUUUAAACUUAUGUUUUUAUACUAUUAAUAUGCUAAAUUGUAUAAAUACUAUCAUUUUCAAGAGGAGUAUGGAUUGACUGCAAUUUUCCUGCAUAGUGUUUUUCUGUGUGAUGUAGAUGUAGAAUGUUCGGGGAAACGAAAACUGGAGGCAGGCCUUGCAGGUUACUCAGGGUUUUUUUUCGGCACUUUUCAGCGUGAACGCUGCACACAUACACUCUGCGUUUUGCGUACUUUGGAAAACAGCCCUGAUUGGAACUUGAACCGACAAACUCUGCGCUCAGGUGUAUUCUCUUAUUGCGCCCCAGGGCUAAAUGGCUAGGAUAAGGAGGUCACUUGGGCAGAGUGGAAAAAAGGGCUGAAAAAGCAAACAAAAUACACGCCAAAAUGGCAUGCUUAUAAGGAAUCAUUUCUCCUUACUAAACAUGCAGAAAUAAAGGGGGUUUACUUGUAUUUUGCUUCCUUUUCCUUUAUACUUGCCUCGGGUAAAGCCCUAAUCCAGAUGAAUCAUCGUGGUGAAUUCUGGGUUACCGAGUUCCCUCUGCCGCCCUCUGCAGGUUUAGAUGA